rnacentral:rRNA from 1 species
AGUGAACGCUGGCGGCAGGCCUAACACAUGCAAGUCGAACGGCAGCACAGUAGGUGCUUGUUCUUACGGGUGGCGAGUGGCGGACGGGAGACGUAAACAUCGGGAUCCACUCUUUCGUGGGGGAUAACGUAGGGGCACUUACGCUAAUACCGCAUACGACCUACGGUUGAAAGCAGGGGAACUUCAGACCUUGCGCGAUUGAAUGAGCCGAUGUCGGGUUAGCUAGUUAGCGGGGUGAAGGCCCACCCAGCCGACGAUCCGUAGCUGGUCUGAGAGGAUGGUCGGCGACACUGGAGCGGGACCACGGACCAGACUCCUACGGGAGGCAGCAGUGGGGAAUGUUGGACAGUGGGGGCAAGCCUGAUCCAGCCGUACCGAGUGGGUGAAGAAGGCCUUGGGGUUGUAAAGCCCUUUUGUUGGUAGAGAAAAGCAGCAGGUUGAUACGCCGCUAUUCUGACGGUACCCGAAGAAUAAGCACCGGCUAACUUCGUG